rnacentral:lncRNA from 1 species
CCAGCGGCCGCGUAGAUGCAGACGUGGGCCGCAACCCACGCGGGGCGGGGCGGGGAUACGGCCGGCGGCCCGAAGACCCAGCAGCCCAAAACAAAUUCACCAACGGGUCAGUGUGGACCCCGUGGUCCUGAGAUGAUCAGAGGACUCCGGGAUCCGCCCCACCACCACCAUGAGACUCAAGUCGGCAGACGUGGGCCCUUCCCUCUGUGCACCUGGUGGCCCGCGGGGGUGACACAUGGGGCCAUCAGCUGGUGACAAAGGUGAGAGGAACUCACAGGGAGAGAAGGGAAGGCCAGGAGGGGGUCAGAGGGCCCAAGACAGCAGCAAAGAGGGUGGGGGCAGAUGCCUGAAGGAAGGGCUGCCCCAGGGUGGUGAUUCCAGGCCUGUGGGAGAAUAGCUCAGAGGAGGCCUGGAGUGGAGUGGAGAGGCCCACAGAGGGAUCUGAGGGCUGCCCAGAGCCUAAGCAGCUGAAGUGCUUAGGGUCCUUGAAACCGAACACUGCUCUACCUGCCUCAGUUCCCCACCAGCAUCCAGACCCCAGAGGACACAGGAAGCUCAAGUUUGCGGACCAGCCUGGUUUCCCCCACAUCUCCAGUGGCUGCCUAUGGCAGCCCGUUUCCACGUCACCCUCCACUGCGUCCGGUGUGCCCACUUGUGUGGCACCCCCACCCUCCCAGGGGACACUGGGGUUGCUGUGGACAUGGAGAGAGCAUCCAGGUCCUCUGUGUAAAAAUAAGCCCCCCCCCCAGGAGGGGGCGGCUGUGACGGUGCAGGCUGCGGUGACAGGGACUCGCCCGCACCCGCAGGAGCAUCCGGCCGUGCGCCCGGGUGCCGUGGCGACGCUGACUCAGAGGCAGGUAGCAGCAUCUGGCACCCAGUGGGUGCCCAGCCCCCACCUGCAGCCUCUCGGGGUGCACAGCUCACGAGUAGAGGGCACCCACACAUCUGCCCACUGCCUGUCCAGCCCAUCCGUGGCCCUAUCCGCCCUCAUGUCCAGGGCACCCCGUGCACAUGGGCACUCUUCCGGGCAGUGAGAAGGGCCUAAGCCCACUCAGGAUCAGCCUCAGGACGUGGAGGCCUGUGUCUCCACACCCGACCCGCAGCCCAUCCUAGACCCUGCCCUGCUGGCCCUGCAGCAGCUGCAGCUAUCCCUCAACUGCUCCCCCAUGCAGCCACCUCAAGCGCACCAGCAUGGCUACCACAGGACCUUUGCACACACCCCUGCCUGGGAAGCCCCUGGCUUGUCCCCAUUCCUGCUGCUUGUGUCUGCUCCCAGCUCCAGAGUAGAAGCCUAG